rnacentral:rRNA from 1 species
GACGAACGCUGGCGGCGUGCUUAACACAUGCAAGUCGACAUGAGUGGCGAACGGGUGAGUAAUACGCGUGUAACCUGCCCUCCUUUUUGGCAUAAGCCUUGGAAACGGGGCCUAAUACCGAAUAACGGGGGGUGGGCUGGCGGCCGAUCAGCUUGUUGGUGGGGUGAUGGCCUACCAAGGCGGUGCCGGGUAGCCGGCCUGAGGGGGGAACGGGCCAGCUUGGGACUGAGAUCCGGACCGGACACCGACGAGAAGCAGCAGUGGGGGAGAUUGCCAAAUGGGCGAAGGCCUGAUGCAGGGACGCCGCGUGGGGGAUGAGGGCUUUCGGGUUGUAAGCCUCUUUCGCUAUCGAACGGGUAGGUGGAGAAGAAGCGCCGGCUAACUACGUGCCAGCCGCCGCGGUAAUAC